UACAGAGGAGCCAAGCGUUGUCCGGAUUGACUGGGCGUAAAGCGCACGCAGGCGGUUGCGCGCGUGGGGGGUGAAAUCUGGCCGCUUAACGGCCAGGCGCCAUCCCAUACGGCGCGACUGGAGUGAUGCAGAGGUCGAUGGAAUUGCCGGUGUAGUGGUGAAAUGCGUAGAUAUUGGGAGGAACACCAGUGGCGAAGGCGGCUCACUGGACCGGUUCUGACGCUGAGGCGCGAAAGCGUGGGGAGCAAACGGG
rnacentral:rRNA from 1 species